rnacentral:rRNA from 1 species
GAUGAACGCUGGCGGCGUGCCUAAUACAUGCAAGUCGAGCGAACAGACGAGGAGCUUGUUGCUCGGAGGUGAGCGGCGGACAAGGGGGUAACAAGUGGAUAACCUACUUAUCACACUGGGAUAACAUCGGGAAAACGGAGCUAAUACCGGAGAAUAUAUUGAACCGCAUGGAUCAUUAGUGUAGGAAGGAUUUGCUGUCGCUUGGAGAUGGAUCCGCGCCGCAUUAGCUGGUUGGUAGGGUAAGGGCUUACCAAGGCAACGAUGCGUAGCCGACCUGAGAGGGUGGUCGGCCACACUGGAACUGAGACACGGUCCAGACUCCUACGGGAGGCAGCAGUAGGGAAUCUUCCGCAAUGGGCGAAAGCUUGACGGAGCAACGCCGCGUGAGUGAUGAAGGUCUUCGGAUCGUAAAACUCUGUUAUUAGGGAAGAACAAAUGUGUAAGUAACUAUGCACGUCUUGACGGUACCUAAUCAGAAAGCCACGGCUAACUACGUG